rnacentral:sRNA from 1 species
CGAGCGUACAUGAGGGAGCUGACUGCAAAUCUGCCGUCAUCGACUUCGAAGGUGCGACUCGAUCGUAGUGAGAGAACGUUGCCGAAGGCAACGGCCCGAAGGGUGAGUCGCGAAGCGACGAAUAAUCCUUCCUUGCUACGA